GACAGAGGGUGCAAACGUUGUUCGGAAUUACUGGGCGUAAAGCGUGUGUAGGCGGCCACGUAAGUCGGAUGUGAAAGCCCCGGGCUCAACCCGGGAAGUGCACUCGAUACUGCGUGGCUUGAGUACUGGAGAGGUUGGUGGAAUUCUCGGUGUAGAGGUGAAAUUCGUAGAUAUCGAGAGGAACACCGAUGGCGAAGGCAGCCCCCUGGGCCAACACUGACGCUCAGGCACGAAAGCGUGGGGAGCAAACAGG
rnacentral:rRNA from 1 species